CGCAGUGUACAUGGUACUAAAUAUUAGAAUCAGCAAGAUAUGGUACCACAGAGUGGUUUUUUCAAUAUUACUUAGAGUGAAAGCCAAAGAAUGCUAGUACAUAUUUGAUUGGACUGUAUUUGUUAUGUAUGAACCAAGUAGGUAAGGGUAAGUAUAUAGAGCUAUAACUGUAUUUCCAGAGAAUUGUGAUUUGAAACAUGGAAGUUUUAUGAAUAUGUAAUUGAAAAUAUCACAUUAAAAUGUAUCUGUUUACACACAACAAUAUAGGUGAAUUUGGAAACAGUAUUGAAUAAAAGAACCAUACACAAGUAAGUAGGUACAAUAUGGUUCCAUUUAAAUAACUAUAAAAAAAAUAGCGAUCAAACACAGGCAAAACUAUUGUGUGGUCCAAGAAAUUAGAUUAAUGGUUACCCUAGGUAGUAAUAUCUGGAAGUGGGGCAAAGUAGGGGGCUUUUGAGAUGCCAGUAAUGUUCUUUUCUUGAUCUGGGUGAUGGUUACACGAUUCAUUCAAAUUUAUCAUUUUUAUUGAUAUUAUAUUCUGUACUUUUCUGUUUAUAUAUUAUUCUUCAAUUGGAAAAGUAAAAAAAAGAAUUGCCUUCUAAGGUAAAAUAACAGUUUUUUGUCACAAAAGUGGAAAGCAAAAGAAUGAUUUUUCAAUAUUGUUUAGAAUUAUCAAUGAUAAUGAUAAUCAUUUACUUAGCGCAUCUCCUAUGUUAGAUAUAGUUCUAAGUGUUAGAAUUAUAUUACUUAAUGAUUAUACCAGGUUUUGAGGUUCUUAUCUCAUUUUUUUGGUUUGUUAAGGAGGAAUUGGGGCUUGGGGAAAUUAAGCAGCUUGCUCAAGGUCACAUAGUAAGUUGGUGGUCAUGCAUGAAUUUAAAUGCUUUGUUUAACUUCAAAGGAGGAGGAGCUCUUGUACUCUUUGACUUGAUUCCGUUCACCAUCCUGGUCGCGCAUUGAGACAAGUUGUUAAUUUCAGAAUCUGGACUGAAUUUUCAUUUUGUGGACAGGCAGUUUUCUUUCUGGAUUUUACUUUCUGUUCCCAUGAUAAUGAAUGGUUAUUAUUACUAACAUUUUGUUCUCAAUCUGUACUCAAAAUUUAUAGAACGCAGACAAAAUCAAAUAUUAAGUUUAACCCUAAAGUUCAGAAAAACCAAACCAAAGAGUUAGUAGUAUUUCACAAACAAGUCAAACAGGUAGAUUUGGGAAUAUUUUUGACUGGCAGUCUCAUAUUUAUUUUUUAUUAUUUUAGGAAGCUGUUUCCUAGCUUUGGCCUUUUUGCUUCUUAAGCUUAUGGUUAAGAGAGAGAACAAGUGAGAGAUAUUAAGACAAAAGACUUUGAAUUUAAGAAGGGUAGUUUUUAAUUUAUUAGGGCACUAUCAAGUAAUUGGAUUUUGAGAAGGCUGGUAUUUAAGGAGUCAUUUCAUUUCUCUUUAGAAAACUUAUUUGUUCUCCUGGGCCACACAUAGUACUGGUAUAGGGGCAAGGUCUAGGAAAAAAGGGAUAUAGAGAGGUAUAACCAUGCCUUGGGGGAUACAGGAAAUAAUUUACCUGCAAGUCAGAAUUAGGAGGUUUUCAUAGUCUUCUUGGGUUGCUGUAACAAAAAUGUCAUUUAUUGGAUGACUUAAGCAACAAACAUUUAUUUCCCACAAUUCUGGAGGCUAGGAAGCCUAAGAUGCAGGUCCCAGCAGAGAGGUAGAAGAAGUGGGACAUUUAUGUUGUAUAGUUUUAAAAGCGCUGUCACCUCCUCCCAUUAUACUCUCAUGAUUCUGUGAGAUUGAUAUCACUGUUAUAUCAGUUUUAUAGUUUACAAAUCUGAGGCUCGGAGAGGCUAAUUAGCACAAACACAUUUAGCUAGUAAGCAACAGACUGGGAAUGAAGGAGGAGGAGCGAUUCAUUAUGACUAGCUAAAUUGGGAAAACUUUAUGAAGGAAAUGUAUGAAUUAGGGCUUUGAGGAGCAAGUCAGAUUUAAGCACAAGAAAGUAAAGGGACAGGUACUGUUGGUUAGAUCAACUGUGGGAGCCCAAAGCAUGAGGAAACUUGGCUCUUUUGGUUUGUGGCCAAUCAUCCACUGUGGGGGGACAGUAGGUACCCAGGCCAGUAUAAUUUGGCUGCUUAUAAAACUCUUUUGUGAUUGCAUUAUGAGGUCCUGGUUCUGUAGAUUGCAGGAAGGAGUUCAUUUCUUCUGGCUUGUAGGCAAGUGAAUGCCUGUCUCCCCCAAGUCAUGGGUCUUCCUUCUCUAUUCUUCCUUAGGGGAGGAAAUAAAUGCUGAUGUUGUGGAUGGCCAGGACAGCGAAGUGAUGAAGGAAGAGACCAGGUAGUGAGUUACUGCAUUAGUGCAACAUAGGCUUAAAUGAGGAGAGGUUAGUAGAAUUAGGAAACGGGGACAUCGGAGAAAAUUCCAGCUGCUUCCCAGUGAAGGCCUAGGUGUUCCUGACUUUAUGUAACUUCCUAUUUGAUUACCUUUACUGAGUGAUCCUGAGGGAUCUCAUUAAAAAUUUUCAUUGUAACUCUGUUUACUCACUGUUUGGAGAAAUUGUGGUUCUUUAUAAAUUUAUUAAGAUCACAGAAAGAGUAAAUGUGGCACUUUUAUUAUUUUGUUUUCUGUUGUAUAUACAUAAAUUAUGAAAUAGAAUUUUGAAUUAUAAAGCCUUGGCCUUUAAACUAUUUGAGGUAAAUAUAACUGGCUAUACUACCUAUCACUAUGAUUUCCUGUCUUCAUAGUGGGCAUAUCUUGCAUAGUUGUCACUCAGUGUAGAUCAAUAUUUUUUUUUACACCCUGUCUUCUGUAAAACAAGAUUAUUUUCAGUAAUAAUCAUGCAAUAUCAGUAAUAUAAUUAUUUUUUGAUUUGCUGUUUAGUUUUGAACAAUUAAAUUGAAUACAUUUAACUUGAAGUUUUAAUACAAAUAUUAUGAAGAUAUUUACCUUUGUAGUUUAUACUCUUUAACUGCUUUAAAUUUUUAACACAAAUAAAAAUUCCAUGUAGUUGCAUAGAAUGCCAGAAUUAAAGUAACUCAAGCUCUCUGUUUCUUCUUUACAAAGACUAUGCUACUAUUAUAUAUUUUGAGUAUACUGAUUAAAUACAGAAACAUUUAGUAUUACAUAUGUUAAAGACAUGAAUUGCACUUGAAGGAGCCUCAAAUGAUUCUGAACUAUUGUAUAUUUAUACUUGAAUUGAUGCAGUAUAGUUCUUAACUAUUAGGGAUCAGCUGUGUAAGUGGCAUUUAGUUGCAUGCUGUAAGUUCUCUGAAAUUCUAUGUGGAAUCCAAUAUUUAUGAAAAAAAUAAAGGACAAAAGUAUGUGAUUCUGAAACUUACAUAUAUUAUUAAAACUCAACAGUAACUGUCAUUAUUUAGAAACUAGACCAACAAGAUAUUUUUUCAGGUAUUUUGUCACUGAGUGUUUUUAAUUUACAAUUAAAAACUUGACCUCACUGAUUAAUGUUUUUAGAGUAUCCACAGGCAUUGUAAUCUCUAACUACCUGUGUCCAGGGUGGACUGCUUCUCCAGCCUCAUCCUUGUACACUAUUGCCUUGACUGGUGCCUCUACUUUUCCCCUCACCCAGCCUCCUGCCAUAUAUCUUCAUUGUCCUUCUAGUCUCAGUCAGAUAACCACGUACAUUAUGUAUGUACAUUAUGCCCGUGACUGAAUGCUGUGUCUCCUCCCUUUGAACUCACCAUGCAGUAUUAUCAUUACUUUGUGGACCACCUGGUGAUUUUAACUUUAUAAAUAUUGUUAUUAAGAGUAGUCGUCACUUUUUAUUUUUAAGCACCUAGCAUUAGAUACUUUUUUCACUUAGUCAAACUUGUCCUUAGACAUAUCAUAUUGAUUAAACAGAAAGGGAACUAUUACAGUGAUCACAUUUUGUUUCUGUUUUUGUUUGUUGUUGUUGUUGUUAUAGAAGCUCAAUAACAGGGCAGCCCAGGUGGCUCAGUGGUUUAGCACUGCCUUCAGCCCAGGGAUCACGCCCUCGGCUGAACGCGGCACUAAACUGCUGAGCCACCGGGGCUGCCCUCUUUCAGGAUUCUAAAAAAAUAUAUUUUUUGCAUAAUUAGAUGAUAUUGUAUCAUUUAAACAUAAUAUUACGUAACAUUUAUUCAAUUUAAUUAAAAUCUCUUAAGAAACAUAAUCUAUCAUAUGGAUGUGCUAGCAUUUAGUACACCAUUCACCUUUUAUUGGAUAUUUAGAUUGGUUUCCAUUUUUGAGUACUUUAAAUAAUGUUCUGCGUGUAUCUUUACAAUAUGUUUCACAUGGUCUCUUUUGAUUACCACAGUGACUCCGUAGGGUAGGCAAGGACUGGUUUAUAAUUUUUUU
rnacentral:lncRNA from 1 species